UACAGAGGUCUCAAGCGUUGUUCGGAUUCAUUGGGCGUAAAGGGUGCGUAGGCGGCGCGGUAAGUCGGGUGUGAAAUCUCGGAGCUUAACUCCGAAACUGCAUUCGAUACUGCCGGGCUUGAGGCAGGUAGGGGAGAUCGGAAUUCCUGGUGUAGCGGUGAAAUGCGCAGAUAUCAGGAGGAACACCGGUGGCGAAGGCGGAUCUCUGGGCCUGUCCUGACGCUGAGGCGCGAAAGCUAGGGGAGCGAACAGG
rnacentral:rRNA from 1 species